UACGGGGGGGGCAAGCGUUGUUCGGAAUUACUGGGCGUAAAGGGCUCGUAGGCGGCCAACUAAGUCAGACGUGAAAUCCCUCGGCUUAACCGGGGAACUGCAUCUGAUACUGGAUGGCUUGAGUUCGGGAGAGGGAUGCGGAAUUCCAGGUGUAGCGGUGAAAUGCGUAGAUAUCUGGAGGAACACCGGUGGCGAAGGCGGCAUCCUGGACCGACACUGACGCUGAGCCGCGAAAGCCAGGGGAGCGAACGGG
rnacentral:rRNA from 1 species